GAACAAAAGGUUAAAGUGUUAGAGACUUGCAAAGAAAAAGAGAACAAAGAUCCCAACCUUCUCAUUGCCCUUUACUAUGCCCAUUGAACUCCCUCCACUGAAACACAUUAUUCCUAUGAGCCAUGCUGUCUUGUGGUCACUGGGCUUGUCGACAAUGCCAUAAUCUAAUUGAGCUGUAACAUGCAAGACACAACCUACUGCAGUGCAAUAUUCAAGGCCCUUCAUAAACAGUACUGGCCUUACCACGUGGGUUAUGAGUGUAUCAUUCAAUAGUAAGCCAUGAAGAUUAAAAUGGGCUUCUUGUGGGUGUAUCUACCAUAUGCCGAAGACCUGAGGGUUUCUGUUGUCGGUGGAGCCAUCACUAAAUGUGUGGCAUUUGAGGUCAGGAUUGCUUCUUACUGAUGAUUGAUGAUUUGUUCAAAGAACCUUUUCAAGCUUACUGUCAGAUAUUUGAAGUUAUUAAUGAGCUGCAAAUGCUGAAUGCCAUUAGAUGAGCACCGUGAUCUGAAAGUUAUCACAUGAGCUUUUUGCACAGCAUGAAAAGAAAUUGAUGCAACCAACCACUAAACUUGUUAUGUUCUUUGAGUCUACAUCCUUUCUGAAAUAUCCCUUAUGAUGAUGUAGGGUGAGUGAAAUUAAAAUGACUAGCCCCAAACGGCCUACUAUGGAGCAACGUUGCACAUGUGGAAAGAGUCCAGAUCAUGUUUUUUUUGUUUAGAAUUUCAAUUGGAAUAAAUAUUACCAACUAAAUAUUAUUGGUCUAUUAGUUUUAUUUCUCUCUGUUAAACUGGUGUUAUUUGUUGGCUAGUUGACCUGCAAUGGAAUAAAUCAAUCUUGUCAGUUGAUGUUUUAAAGUACAAUAAUCUAACAGCAUUCUUUGA